rnacentral:rRNA from 1 species
UACGGGGGGGGCAAGCGUUGUUCGGAAUUACUGGGCGUAAAGGGCUCGUAGGUGGCCAAUUAAGUCAGACGUGAAAUCCCCAAGCUUAACUUGGGAACUGCGUCUGAUACUGAGUGGCUUGAAUUCGGGAGAGGGAUGCAGAAUUCCAGGUGUAGCGGUGAAAUGCGUAGAUAUCUGGAGGAAUACCGGUGGCGAAGGCGGCAUCCUGGACCGAGAUUGACACUGAGGAGCGAAAGCCAGGGGAGCAAACGGG